rnacentral:rRNA from 1 species
UACGUAGGGGGCUAGCGUUGUCCGGAAUCAUUGGGCGUAAAGAGCGUGUAGGCGGUCCGGUAAGUCCGCUGUGAAAGUCGGGGGCUCAACCCUCGAAUGCCGGUGGAUACUGUCGGGCUAGAGUGCGGAAGAGGCAAGUGGAAUUCCCGGUGUAGCGGUGAAAUGCGCAGAUAUCGGGAGGAACACCUAUGGCGAAGGCAGCUUGCUGGGACGGUACUGACGCUGAGACGCGAAAGCGUGGGGAGCAAACAGG